rnacentral:rRNA from 1 species
CCGUUGUACACACCGCCCGUCACACCAUGGGAGUGGGUUUCACCAGAAGUAGGUAGUCUAACCGCAAGGAGGGCGCUUACCACGGUGGGAUUCAUGACUGGGGUG